GCCCCCGUUGUGUAGCGGCCACAACCGGAGAAUGCCGUGAGCGGUAGCGCCGGUUCGAAUCCGGUCGGGGGUA
rnacentral:tRNA from 1 species